rnacentral:lncRNA from 1 species
GUGAGGGGUUCAAACUCUGCCAACAAAGUUUGCCAACGCUAUUGAAAGUUGCGAGCCUCGACAAACCUGAGCCACGUUGAGCUUCAACCAAGGGUCAACACAAGCCAGACAAAAGCGUUGUGUACAAUCAAGAAAUAUCCUCAUCAUAAGGGUUGGCCAACAAAAUCAACCCUAUUCAAAAUUUAAUCGUUUUCAUCUUUCAUAACAUGUUGACUAAUUAAUACAAUAAUAAAUCAUAUCAUAUUGAUAUCAUUGUAAAGUACAAUACCAUUGUCCUUUAUGGAACAAGAUAUGAAAUUAACAAAUGAUUUGAAAAACAAACAAAACCCUAACCACAUAUCAAACUUCAUCUCACCACCUUAAGCACUAUCCAAGAACAACACAUAACAAAGAACACAACACAAACCGAAAAAGAUUCAAAUUAUCCAGAUCGUAAUAGGGUCCGGAAAUGAUCAGAUUCUGUUGUGACAUUCAAUGAGAUGAUAUUUUCAGAUGGAUUGAUUUGUUGAACCAUGCCUUCCAGCUGCCAAAGCUCUUCCUUGGUAUUUCCACAACCACUGGUUUUUCACCGUCCCCAUCCGCCUGAGGUUUCUUGCAGAGCAUGAAGUUCCUGACCCCGAAUGAUCCAAUCCUUUCCCAUGGUUUCAGAGCUGUCAAGCUGCUUGUAAGCUACUCUAGAUUGACUCGUUAA